GACGAACGCUGGCGGCGUGCUUAACACAUGCAAGUCGAACGAGAGAAGGUCGGCGCUUGCACAGAUCCGAUGGAGUGGCGGACGGGUGAGUAACGCGUGGGUAACCUGCCUCAUACAGGGGAAUAACAGCUGGAAACGCCUGCGACAACCGCAUAAGCGCACAGUAUCGUAUGAUACAGUGUGAAAAACUCCGGUGGUAUGAGAUGGACCCGCGUCUGAUUAGCUAGUUGGUGAGGUAACGGCCCACCAAGGCAACGAUCAGUAGCCGGCCUGAGAGGAUGAACGGCCACAUUGGGACUGAGACACGGCCCAAACUCCUACGGGAUGCAGCAGUGGGGAAUAUUGCACAAUGGGGGAAACCCUGAUGCAGCGACGCCGCGUGAGUGAUGAAGGAUUUCGGUAUGUAAAGCUCUAUCAGCAGGGAAGAUGAUGACGGUACCUGACUAAGAAGCACCGGCUAAAUACGUGCCAGCCGCCGCCGUAA
rnacentral:rRNA from 1 species